rnacentral:rRNA from 1 species
GACAGAGGUCCCGAGCGUUGUUCGGAUUCAUUGGGCGUAAAGGGUGCGUAGGCGGCGCGGUAAGUCGGGUGUGAAAUCUCGGAGCUUAACUCCGAAACUGCAUUCGAUACUGCCGUGCUUGAGGACUGGAGAGGAGACUGGAAUUUACGGUGUAGCGGUGAAAUGCGUAGAUAUCGUAAGGAAGACCAGUGGCGAAGGCGGGUCUCUGGACAGUUCCUGACGCUGAGGCACGAAGGCCAGGGGAGCAAACGGG